GCGGAAGUGGCGGAAUUGGUAUACGCGCUACCUUGAGGUGGUAGUGAGAGUAAUCUCGUGGGGGUUCAAGUCCCCCCUUUCGCA
rnacentral:tRNA from 4 species